CAGAGGGUGCGAGCGUUGUUCGGAAUUACUGGGCGUAAAGCGCGCGCAGGCGGCUUCUUAAGUCUAUGGGUGAAAGACCGGGGCUCAACCCCGUGUCAGCCCGGGAUACGUGGGGAGCUAGGGACAUGUAGGGGCGAGCGGAAUUCCGGGUGUAGCGGUGGAAUGCGUAGAGAUCCGGAAGAACACCGGGGGCGAAGGCGGUUCGCUGGGCAUGGUCCGACGCUGAGACGCGAAAGCGUGGGGAGCGAACAGGAUUAGAUACCCUGGUAGUCCACGCCGUAAACGAUGGGCACGUAGGGGCGGGGGGGAUCGGCCCUCUCCGUCCCGUAGCUAACGCGAUAAGUGCCCCGCCUGGGGAGUACGGCCGCAAGGCUG
rnacentral:rRNA from 1 species